AGCAAGAUGGCUGAAUUGAAGGCGGUAAAUUGUAGCUUUGCUAAUGAAAUAUAUUUCUCUUGUU